AUGGCGUGCAGGCCGGCCGUAUCCAACCCCUCCGCACUCACGCCGGCGCCGCGCCGACGCGUCGUCCCUGGCCGCAGCAGCACUGGGGGACGCGUUGACUGCCCCCUCCGCUCCAGCUCCACGGGUGCGGUCAGACUCGGCGCGCGCCGCGCCCCUGCCGCCGCCUUCGUCGUCCGCGCGGCGGCUGCCGAGGGUGACUUGGAUCUCCAGGCUAAGGUGACGAGCAAAUGCUUCUUCGACGUCGAGAUCGGCGGGGAUCGCGCAGGCAAGGUGGUAAUCGGGCUCUUCGGCGAGGUCGUCCCCAAGACUGUCGACAACUUCCGCGCCUUGUGCACUGGAGACAAAGGUUAUGGAUACAAGGGCUGCUCCUUCCACCGAAUUAUCAAGGAUUUCAUGAUUCAGGGCGGGGAUUUCCAGAACAACAAUGGUACUGGUGGGAGAAGUAUUUAUGGUGAAUGCUUUGAUGAUGAAAAUUUUACAUUAAAGCAUGUUGGUCCUGGUGUACUAAGCAUGGCCAACGCUGGCCCUGACACAAAUGGAAGUCAGUUUUUCAUUUGCACUGUGAAGACACCAUGGUUGGACAACCGUCAUGUUGUGUUUGGACAUGUGUUGGAGGGCAUGGACGUUGUGAGGGAGCUUGAAUCGCAAGAAACCAGCAGGUCCGAUAUUCCCAAGCAGCCCUGUCGAAUUGUGGAUUGUGGUGAGCUGCCCUUGGACGGCUGA
rnacentral:rRNA from 1 species